rnacentral:rRNA from 1 species
CGGAGGGUGCAAGCGUUAUCCGGAUUCACUGGGUUUAAAGGGUGCGUAGGAGGGCAGGUAAGUCAGUGGUGAAAUCUCCAAGCUUAACUUGGAAACUGCCGUUGAUACUAUCUGUCUUGAAUACCGCGGAGGUGAGCGGAAUAUGUCAUGUAGCGGUGAAAUGCUUAGAUAUGACAUAGAACACCAAUUGCGAAGGCAGCUCGCUACACGAAUAUUGACUCUGAGGCACGAAAGCGUGGGGAUCAAACAGGAUUAGAUACCCUGGUAGUCCACGCCCUAAACGAUGGAUACUCGACAUACGCGAUACACAGUGUGUGUCUGAGCGAAAGCAUUAAGUAUCCCACCUGGGAAGUACGACCGCAAGGUUG